GUCAGGCAUGGUGGUGCAUGCUUGUAGUCCCAGCUACUCAGGAGGCUGAGUUGGGAGGAUCGCUUGAGCCCAGGAGUUUGGGGCUGCAGUGAGCUGUGAUUGCACCAUUGCACCCCAGCCUGGGCAACAGAGUGAGACCCUAUCCCCC
rfam:Pan troglodytes isolate Yerkes chimp pedigree #C0471 (Clint) chromosome 14, whole genome shotgun sequence.